UGCAGCCUGCCGUUGGGGCAUGGUUGUGGGUGUACAGUGUAGGUGGGAGCCGUCGAAGCCUCCUCGCUAGGGGAGGUGGAGGCGCCCAUGGGACACCACCCUCCCAUGACCAUGUCCCUUACCCCAGAGAGGGGACACCGGUAGGUGGGCAGUUUGGCUGGGGCGGCACCCUCCUAAAAAUGCAUCAGGAGGGCCCAAUGGUCGGCUCAAGCGGGUCAGGACUCCGCUGUUGAGUGUAAGGGCAAAAGCCGGCCUGACUUGGUUGCCCAAAAUACGCAACCAAGAGGCGAAAGCCGGGCCUAACGAACCCCUGUGCCUCACCGAUGGGGGCCAGGGAUGACAGAAAAGCUACCCCGGGGAUAACAGAGUUGUCGCGGGCAAGAGCCCAUAUCGACCCCGCGGCUUGCUACCUCGAUGUCGGUUUUUCCCAUCCUGGAUCUGCAGCAGGAUCCAAGGGUGGGGCUGUUCGCCCAUUAAAGGGGAUCAUGAGCUGGGUUUAGACCGUCGUGAGACAGGUUGGUUGCUAUCUGCUGGAGGUGUUGGCUGCCUGAGGGAAAGGUGGUUCUAGUACGAGAGGAACGAACCGCCGGUGCCUCUAGUCUAUCGGUUGUCCGACAGGGCAUUGCCGAGCAGCCACGCACCAAGGGAUAAGGGCUGAAAGCAUCUAAGCCCGAAACCCGUCCUGAAAAUAGGCAGCCAGUCCCUUCGGGGACAAGGGCUCCCCUAGAAGAGGGGUUUGAUAGGCUAGGGAUGUAAGCACCGAGGGUUCUCCCGAGGUGUUUAGUCCGCUAGUACUAACAGCCCGAGG
rnacentral:rRNA from 1 species